AUUGAACGCUGGCGGCAGGCCUAACACAUGCAAGUCGAACGAGUGGCGGACGGGUGAGUAAUGUCUGGGAAACUGCCCGAUGGAUGGGGAUAACUACUGGAAACAGUAGCUAAUACCGCAUACCAUCGGAUGUGCCCAGAUGGGAUUAGCUAGUAGGUGGGGUAACGGCUCACCUGGGCGACGGUCCGUAGCUGGUCUGAGAGGAUGAACAGCGACACUGGAAAUGAGACACGGUCCAUACUCCUACGGGAGGCAGCAGUGGGGAAUAUUGGACAAUGGGCGCAAGCCUGAUGCAGCCAGGCCGCGUGUAUGAAGAAGGCCUUCGGGUUGUAAAGUACUUUCAUCGAGGAGGCGUUAGUCGCAGAAGAAGCACCGGCUAACUCCGUGCCAGCAGCCGCGGUAAUAC
rnacentral:rRNA from 1 species